rnacentral:hammerhead_ribozyme from 1 species
AUCCAACUGACGAGUCCCAAAGAGGACGAAACGCGCGUCCUGGAU